CUACGGGAGGCUGCAGUGGGGAAUAUUGCACAAUGGGCGCAAGCCUGAUGCAGCCAUGCCGCGUGUGUGAAGAAGGCCUUCGGGUUGUAAAGCACUUUCAGCGGGGAGGAAGGCGGUGAGGUUAAUAACCUCAUCGAUUGACGUUACCCGCAGAAGAAGCACCGGCUAACUCCGUGCCAGCAGCCGCGGUAAUACGGAGGGUGCAAGCGUUAAUCGGAAUUACUGGGCGUAAAGCGCACGCAGGCGGUCUGUCAAGUCGGAUGUGAAAUCCCCGGGCUCAACCUGGGAACUGCAUUCGAAACUGGCAGGCUAGAGUCUUGUAGAGGGGGGUAGAAUUCCAGGUGUAGCGGUGAAAUGCGUAGAGAUCUGGAGGAAUACCGGUGGCGAAGGCGGCCCCCUGGACAAAGGCUGACGCUCAGGUGCGAAAGCGUGGGGAGCAAACAGGAUUAGAUACCCGAGUAGUC
rnacentral:rRNA from 1 species